GCAGCAGCAACCCCUCAACAGCAACAUUGUACCCAUCAGGUGCUGCUGCGACUGGUGCAUGGAUGUACGGCUCCUGAAUGACUGGUUCCAGCCUGAACACCUGCCUUCUAUAUAAAGCCUGGAGCGCUUCACACGCUUCCCCUAACAGCUGAUCAGCUGGGUGAGCUGCCGUUACUUUGAACACAUCGAUUUCUCCUGUUUUUGGACAGGAGGUCAGACUCUGUCUUUAUUUUGGUUCCUUUCCUCUGUGAGCUCAUGUAUGUUGGCAUCUAUCAGACCUCAGCUUUGUUUGAUUUACUAUUUUGGCCUCGGCUCACCCUGAUGUGUUGACACUCCUGUUCUGUUGUUUUUCCCUCAUUACUUUGUAAAUAAAUACCAUGUAAUGACCA